UAGAUACCCUGGUAGUCCACGCCGUAAACGAUGAUAACUAGCUGUCGGGGCUCUUAGAGCUUCGGUGGCGCAGCUAACGCAUUAAGUUAUCCGCCUGGGGAGUACGGCCGCAAGGUUAAAACUCAAAUGAAUUGACGGGGGCCUGCACAAGCGGUGGAGCAUGUGGUUUAAUUCGAAGCAACGCGCAGAACCUUACCAGCGUUUGACAUGUCCGGACGAUUUCGGGAGACCGAUCUCUUCCCUUCGGGGA
rnacentral:rRNA from 1 species